GCCUGUGUGACAGAGGAAAAACAAUCGUCAUGUAGUUGCUGGUCUAUCCUGGGAAGGCAAAGUGUGAGGACCUGCCUUCAGAUUCUAGCCACCCACGGAAAGUCAGAGGCGGCAGGCUGAGCACUCUCGAAAUCCAGCACCAUUACAAGAUGGUGGAUGGAGGCUGAUUAGUUCCAGAACCACUGGCCAGAGAUUCCUGUUUCAAACAAGGUAUCAAGGAAGGUCAAGGUACCUACCCACUGACACCACCUGCCAAUGGCUUACCUGUCCACUAGAAUAAAAGGAACAAAAGUUCAUGUGCCAGACCCUGGGCCAUGACUCAAUGAUGCAAUGGCUGCCAACUGGGAGCCCCACCUGUGCUGUGGUUUAAACGUGAACUGAUGGCGUGUCUGGGGAGACUGUGGCACCUUUAGGAGGUGAAGAAGUGCUGAAGACGUGGGCCACUGGGGCAGACCUGGGAGUUUUAUGGCCUGACCCCAACUCCUAUUCACUCUCUGCUUCCCGAUGGCAGAGCCGGUGUGAAUAGUCAGCCUCCUGACCCUGCCUCCAUGCCAUCCACCAAAAUGACUUAUUCCCGAAACUAUAGGGCACAAUAGCCUCCCUCAGUCACAGCAGUGAGAAAAGGAAGCAAGCAGUGUGACCCAUUAGUGUCUAAAGGGUACAGGGAAUCAGGAAUCCUAGACCUCUGCCCCAGCACCAACAGACACAGACAUACUCUACGAUGGCGUCGCGGUCUGCGAUGUCCCCGAGCACCAUGCGCUGGAUGAUGCUGUUGUGCUCCUCUUCUGAGAGGUUCUUGUAGGACACCAGGGGGAUGUUAUACUUUGUGGCUGGUGAGGGGUCCACUCCCUGGAGCCAAGGGUGGCUUUCAAUCUCUUCCAGAGAGGCUCUCCUUUUGGGGUCUCUCUGCAGCAUCCGUGUGAUCAGGCUGAGAAGAGAAGGAAUGGUUACUGAAGCAGACAGCUGGCAAGGACUAGUAAUGAUGGGUGUCACCACCAAGCAGUUUCUUACAGUCACCUUUCUAGUAAUGAUGGGUGUCACCAACAGUUUCUUACACAGUCACCUUUCUAGGCUUGCUGACGAAUUUUUACAAAAACUGCUGCCACCAUAUUUACAAAAUAAAACAAUCUCAGCCCCUUAGUGUCCCUGAUGACGAACAAAGCUCCCUGCUUUUUAGAAGUAACAACCCCUGUCCCUGAAUCACAAGCUGGCCUAGUGCACUACCCAGCUUAUUUCACAGGAAUGGAUGACUCUCCUGAUGGAAAAGAGUUUAUGGAAGAACUUUUUAGAAAUGUGUUGACAAAAAGUAAACAAGGGACGCUUGAUGCUAAAACAGGUGAAGCAGGUAUCAUGGGGACAAACAGCUGGCAGCUUCAACCACCCUGCUUUGUGCAAAGGCCACACUGGGUUCAUGCUACUGAGUACAAGGGGCAGCAGCUAGUGAUGGUGGAAGAAAAGAGAGGAUCCCAUCUCAGUGCCCAGUGAGAAAGGUGAAAGAAAUCCACUCCUCACAAGAGGACGAGAAGGAAGCUGUGAGCUCAGCAGUGGCUCUGGAAGACACCUUUCUGUAGAAUGUACCUUAAACUUCCCAACAAUAUUUCAAAAACUAGAGCAGAGGACUGAAGACAACUGGAGGAGCCAUCAGCAAGACCCCAACAGAAAAUCAGAAUACAGAUGCUGCUGAACGUGCCACAGACUUUCACUGUGCUCAGGUAGAAACAAAACUCAAAAAUAUGACUGGGAAACAAGAAUAGGCAACAUUAUGCUAGACGGGCUUCUAAAAGUGAAAAACAACCACUGUAAUUGAAAAAAGUAAGCAAUGGACACAUUUAAGAAAUUAAAUGUAAGCAAAUUCAUGAAAUGAAAUACAAAUCCAAGAAGACACUUUUCUCUGUAGACUGAGACAGAAAAUACCAAGAAUGAAAGAUGAGAUGAAGUGCAAACAGCUAACAGCCUAGAGGAUAUAAAAAAAGAGAGAGAAAGCAUAUUUGGGAAGGCAGUAGCUGAGAAUUUUCCAAAUCCAUGAAAGAAUGUAGCUCAUAAGCUAGAGAGCCUAACACAGUCUAAGCACAUGGAGGCUCCAAGAGAAAAGCAGAGCUGUGGAGCAGGAGCUAAGGCAGACAGCUGGCUUCCCAAUGCAGCAACGGAUUCUGCCGAGGACUGGCCCAGGCUUUCUAAUCGCAUGGCCUUCAUGGACACACAGCAUAGACACUCUCAAGGCAGCAUUAGCCACCAACAGCAAAUGCAAACAUGAAGGAUGUCAUUCUGGUGGAAGAAUGCAAUUCUAACUGAGAAGGGAGCUAGCAAAGUUCACGUUAAACAUUUAGAAGAUUAUCAACAAUUUCUGACUAUAUAAAAUUUUAAUCUGUAGUUAGAAAAAAUUACUAAAAUAUUAGAUAGUUAAAAUAUUAGGAUUUUAAAAUGUUUUAGAAGACAAUAGAGAGAAGUAUUAAUUGUAGAUUUUUUAAAAAACUAAAAUAAUAGCCUACAACUCCCCAGCUGGCUGAAACAUGAGAUAAAUGGCAGAAAAGGGAAAUCUCUACCACCCUCUGGGUCAGAAGGUAAGGUCACAGGAGACAUGUACAGAAAUACAUCCACACCUGCAUCUACCACUCACCACAACAAAUGCAGAUGGGACAAGCUCCACAGCUCAAAGGACCGAAACUGACAUUCAAGAAAGUCCAGACUGCUCAAAACAUGAGGAAAACUCAUACACAGACGCUGGCCCAACAGGGCAAGUGUGGGGAGCCCUUGAAACACCACACACAGGCCUAAACAGGAAGUAUUACUCUGAUGUAAACUGACACAGAGGGCUAAUUCAAUUCACCAGGAAGACAGUAGCUUUCAACUUACCUGCAUCUAAGAACUUUACUUCAAAACUCUCAAAGCAAAAACUGAUAAACUUUAAGAAUAAAGCUACCAUCACAGUGGGAGAUUAUCUCAGUAAGUGAAGAAAACUCUGGAUGCAAACAACUUUUAAAAAUAUAAUUAAUGAGCUUGACCUUAAAGAUAUAUAGACCUCUGACCCCAAUUCUACCAAGAACAAGACUGUAACAAUUAUCUUCAUGAUAGGCAUAAACAAACCUCGAAAAUGUGAAAACAUGGCAACACACAGACUGUAUUCUUUGACUAUAAUGUAGCUUAGAAAUCAAAAGCAUCAGCUAACUAAAAAUAAAACCACCUGUAAACAAGGAAGGCAUCAAAUAAGACAAUGAAAACUAGAAAAUUCUAUGAGCUCAAUAACAAAGACUAUUGAUCAAAUUCCGUGUGAUGAAGCUAACCUGUCCCAGAAGCAAUGUAUAGUCCUAAACAUUUUAUCGUAAAAGAGGCUCUAUGAGCGGAAUAACUAAGGUUCUGAAUAACAGAAUCAGCUCCUGGGUCAGGGAAGAAAUAACAAGGACAGGUAAGAAGCAUCAGAAGCCAGUCCUUGUGAAGAGACGGAGGACAACUGGAGGACGCAGCCUCAUCAGCAGCAUCCUGGUUGGUAAAGGUCUCACAGACACUCAAGGCCGAUGCACCAGGCAGUCAGAUAAAAUGGGCUCCUUCCUUAAAAUACGCCACUUAGCAAAACACACUAGAAAAAGUUGGGGUUCGAGGCAGGGUUUCUCUGUGUAGCCUUGGCUGUCCUGGAACUAGCUAUGUAAACCAGGCUGGCCUUACACUCAGGGAAAUCCACCUGCCUCUGCCUCUGGAAUACUGGGAUUAAAGGUGGCAUCGCCAGCACCCACUGUUGCUUUGUUUCUUAUCUAAAGGUCUUACAGUUAUUAAAACAAUCCUUCUAGGAAGGAGACAUGGAGGCAACAUCUCACAUCUUAGGAAAGGAGCAUCCAUGUUGAUUCUAUAACCUGUGGGCUUCAAAUGAUGCAGUUUGAUGUAAAGUGAGAUUUGUUUUUAAAUGGGGAUAGAGAAGAUAAUCUGGCCUGUACUUGGUGUAUACCUGCUUCCUAGGGGGAUAGUAAGAGCAAGAACCUGAGUCACCACCCACACACAAAGCUCCCCUUGUCCUACAGCACAAAAUCACCGAACACACACACAAACUUCCCGUGUGCUCCAACCUAAAACCACCACAUACACCAACACAACUCCAUUAUGCUCCAACCUAAAAUCACUACCAACAGACACAUACAUAUACAGAGCCUCCCGUGUGCCCCAGUCUAAAUCACCAACACACACUCACAGCACACACUAGACUCAUACAUGAUCUAACCUAAAAUCAACAAGCACAUAUGAUCUACUGAGUACUACAGUGUAAAACCACCCUGACCAACAUAAACAUACACACAGCCUUCCAUGUGUUCCAGCCUAAAAUCAACAACCACCAAUACAGGAGACAGGACUUCUCAUGUGCGCUAGACUAAAAUCAUCAUCACACCAACACACAGCCUCCUGUGUGCAACAGCCUAAAAUCACCACCAACAGCAACCCAUACACAGCCUCCUACAUGUUCCAUCCACAAAUCACCACCAUCCCACACAGAGCCUCGCCUGUGCUCCAGCCUGAGCUGUAUGCUUCACACUGAACCCUCAUCAUUUUCACAGUAGCCCUCGUAAGUACACUGCACCAUACUAACAUAGGCAGAAGCAAAAAAGCCAGCAUGUGAGCCCACAGAAUUGAGUGCCCAGGUUGGGAUUCUACCUGAAAAAGAACCCUCAAUCUGUUGUAGUUCUUCCUUACAGCUGACAGGAAAAACUCAAAAUUUUGUUGAUGCAGAAAAAAAAUUUAACCGGUAACUACAAUCUCGGCUGGUUUGUUUAAAAAUAUCACAAACUUGAAACACCUUUUUCCAAGACUGCACCUCACUGGUGACGGCCCUAUAACCCUGAAAACUCACAGGGAGAAACCCCAAAGGCAGUCAGUGCUGGCUUCCCACAGUGCACAGCCUCCUGUGCUGGGAGGACGUGAACUCGGGACAGGCUGCUGUCUACUAAGACAUGCUGCCACGAGACGGUCAGGAGGAGCCCUGCAGCGACUACUCCUGCCAGAGGAAAGCCCACGGCUUUUCUGGGGUCUCAAACAGUACCCAACAGUCUUGCUUUUGCCACUGAAGAAAAAGGCAGAUGAGGGAAGGUCUUAACCCCAACUUCUGGAGGCUGAAAAGGCAAAAUGGAUUUCUUGAAAACAUGGGUUAGAAAUAACCAAGAAUGUUUUGUACUCUUCUGUUGAAUUUCUUAUCAAGUACUAAUGGGUGGCCCCAAACAAUAACAGUAGAAACAUUCAUAAAUUAAAUGAACUCAAAUCCCUGCAUGCUGAAGGUAUGUCAGGCCUCUUUGUGCGUUGGUGAGUCAGCUUCUGUUUAAUGGAGUUGCGCCGUGUGCACAGGGUUUACUUACUCCCUGCAGCCUGCAGACACGCGGGGCGGCACAGUGUACUUGCAGUCCAUGAUCAUGGUCAGUGUCUCGCUGUCAUUGGCCUCUUGGAAGGGCGGCUGCCCACACACAAGCAUGAAAAGGAUCACGCCCAGGCUCCAUAUGUCUACAAAAGAAAGACAAUAUUUAAAUACUGGAGUAUCUAGAAAACCAGGAUCAUUAGGACGUGGACAGGUAGGCUAACAAGCAUUUUAUCCUUGAAGUAAAACUACACAAAGCAGACUGCAAAAUCUCAACAGAGCAGAGGGAGUCAGCCUGUCAAAUAGGAGGAAAACCAGGCUUAAGCCAAGGGACAAGGCCCUCUUCCCCCAACUGACUGUAGCACACCCAGCAUUAAAAACAUUGAAACUGCGAGGCUGGAACGAUUUGCCUGAGGUCAGCAUUAUCUCCGUUGCUCUCCCUCAUUCUGGGGUGGUAGCCAGGUCACACAAGUGCUGAGAGAAAGCUGCAGCUCAGAGACAAGCAACAUUUAGCUACCACACAAACCAAACAAAAGCCCAAGCUGGGUCUCCACCAUUUACAUGGUAGAGCUGGGCCCACGGUGUAAGUACUCAGCCUGCAAACAGUAAGAAGAAAAGAAAAGUUAAGACAUGGAGGACUGGGAGAGAGACAGCUCACCUGCGAGGGAGGAGCUGUCUGCCCCUUGCACAGGACCCGAGUCGGGUGCUCAGCACAAGCUGCAGAGGCUCUGAUGCCCUCUCUUGGUCUCUGUGGGCACUGCACUCAUAUGCGCAUCCCCCCAACACACAUUAUGUAAAAAGUAAAAAUAAAUAAAGUCUUCAUAUUUUUUAAGGA